rnacentral:rRNA from 1 species
UACGUAGGGGGCAAGCGUUGUCCGGAAUCAUUGGGCGUAAAGCGCGUGUAGGCGGCCCGGUAAGUCCGCUGUGAAAGUCGGGGGCUCAACCCUCGAAUGCCGGUGGAUACUGUCGGGCUAGAGUGCGGGAGAGGCGAGUGGAAUUCCUGGUGUAGCGGUGAAAUGCGCAGAUAUCAGGAGGAACACCAAUGGCGAAGGCAGCUCGCUGGGACGUGACUGACGCUGAGACGCGAAAGCGUGGGGAGCAAACAGG